rnacentral:tRNA from 1 species
AGAAUGGGUAAAUUAAUUUUUAAGAGAAUAAUUUAAGAUAAAAUUUUAGGCUUCAAACUUAAAAA